UAACGAAUCUUGGGCAAUGGGCGCAAGCCUGACCCAGCAAUGCCGCGUGCAGGAGGAAGUCCUUCGGGAUGUAAACUGCUGUCAGGGUUUCGCAAGCAAAGCGGGUGAAUAAUCCGCCGAGUUGAGCAGACCCAAAGGAAGCCUCGGCUAACUCUGUGCCAGCAGCCGCGGUAAGACAGAGGAGGCAAGCGUUGUUCGGAUUCAUUGGGCUUAAAGCGGGUGUAGGCGGCUGCGCAAGUGUCUUGUGAAAGCCCCCGGCUCAACCGGGGAACUGCUGGGCAAACUGCGUAGCUUGAGGUCGGUAGGGGUGCCUGGAACUCUAGGUGGAGCGGUGAAAUGCGUAGAUAUCUAGAGGAACGCCAGAGGCGAAAGCGGGGCACUGGGCCGAUUCUGACGCUGAGAUCCGAAAGCGUGGGGAGCAAACA
rnacentral:rRNA from 1 species